AGGGCGCAGGGUGGAUGCCUUGGCACUAAGAGCCGAUGAAAGACGUGAUAAGCUGCGAAAAGCUUCGGGGAGGAGCAAAUAUCCAUUGAUCCGGAGAUAUCCGAAUGGGGAAACCCACUUGAGCAAACCUCAAGUAUCCAUACGCCAAUCCAUAACGUAUGGAAGGGAACCGGGGGAACUGAAACAUCUAAGUACCCCGAGGAGAAGAAAGAAACCUCGAUUUCCAAAGUAGCGGCGAGCGAAAUGGAAAGAGCCCAAACCGUGGUGCGUGCACCGCGGGGUUGUGGACUGCAUAAGGUACUCGAAUCAAUAGCCGAACAGUUUUGGGAAAUCUGAUCAGAGAGGGUGAAAAUCCCGUAGGCGAAAUUGAUGAGAGGCUGGCAGGAUCCAGAGUACCACGAGACACGGGAAACCUUGUGGGAAGCAGGAGGGACCACCCUCCAAGGCUAAAUACUCCUCAGUGACCGAUAGCGCAUAGUACUGUGAAGGAAAGGUGAAAAGGACCCCGGGAGGGGAGUGAAAGAGAACCUGAAACCCUGUGUCUACAAGCUGUGGGACCUCUUUAUAUGAGGGACUGCGUACUUUUUGUAGAACGGUCCGGCGAGUUGUGCGUACUGGCGAGGUUAAGGACUUAAGGUCUGGAGCCGAAGUGAAAGCAAGCGUUAAUAGCGCGUCAAGUCAGUGAGUGCAGACCCGAAACCGGGUGACCUAUCCAUGUCCAGGUUGAAGCUUCCGUAAGAGGAAGUGGAGGACCGAACCCACAUCCGUUGAAAAGGGUGGGGAUGAGGUGUGGAUAGCGGAGAAAUUCCAAUCGAACCCGGAGAUAGCUGGUUCUCCUCGAAAUAGCUUUAGGGCUAGCCUCAUGAGAGUCUUAUGGAGGUAGAGCACUGAAUUGCCUAGGGGGCGUCAAAGCUUACCAAAGCAUAUCAAACUCCGAAUGCCAUCAAGAUGAUUCAUGGGAGUCAGACCAUACGAGAUAAGUUGGAUGGUCAAAAGGGAAAGAGCCCAGACCUACAGCUAAGGUCCCAAAGUGCGUGUUAAGUGGAAAAGGAUGUGGGGAUUCUAAGACAACUAGGACGUUGGCUUAGAAGCAGCCAUUCAUUGAAAGAGUGCGUAAUAGCUCACUAGUCGAGAGUCCCUGCGCCGAAAAUGUCCGGGGCUGAAACACGACACCGAAGCUUAGGAAUGUGUAAACAUUGGUAGAGGAGCAUUGCUGGCGGGAUGAAGCCAUACCGUAAGGAGUGGUGGACUGCUAGGAAGAGAGAAUGCCGGAAUGAGUAGCGAGAUGAAGGUGAGAAUCCUUCAGGCCGAAUAUCUAAGGUUUCCAGAGUAAAGCUGAUCUGCUCUGGGUAAGUCGGGGCCUAAGGCGAGGUCGAAAGACGUAGUCGAUGGAUAACAGGUUGAAAUUCCUGUACCGCAUAUAAACAGAACUGUGGGGACACAGACAGGGAAUGGAAUCCGGGAAUGGAAAUCCCGGUGCAAGCGAGGUAGGAGUGCUGUUGGCAAAUCCGCAGCACGAUCUGAAGACGUGACGCGUACCGAACAUAAGUAGGGAAGUCCAGGCCCCUGGCUGUCAAGAAAAGCCGCUAUUGUUUUAUAUGUGCCCGUACCGCAAACCGACACAGGUGGAUGAGGAGAGAAUCCUAAGGCCGACGGGAGAAGCAUUGUUAAGGAACUCGGCAAAAUGACUCCGUAACUUCGGGAGAAGGAGUGCCAUGAGAGUGGCCGCAGAGAAAUGGCCCAAGCAACUGUUUAGCAAAAACACAGGUCUAUGCAAAACCGCAAGGUGAAGUAUAUGGGCUGACGCCUGCCCGGUGCUGGAAGGUUAAGGGGAGAGGUUAGCGCAAGCGAAGCUUUGAACUUAAGCCCCAGUAAACGGCGGCCGUAACUAUAACGGUCCUAAGGUAGCGAAAUUCCUUGUCGGGUAAGUUCCGACCCGCACGAAAGGCGUAAUGAUUUGGGCACUGUCUCAACGAUACACCCGGUGAAAUUGAAAUACCAGUGAAGAUGCUGGUUACCUGCGCCAGGACGGAAAGACCCCAUGGAGCUUUACUCCAGUUUGAUACUGGGAUUCGGCAUGGUAUGUACAGGAUAGGUGGGAGACUGAGAAGGUAUGACGUCAGUUGUACCGGAGUCGCUGUUGGGAUACCACCCUUACCAUGUUGGAUUUCUAACCUGUGGCCGUAAGCCGGUCAGGGGACAAUGUCAGGCGGGGAGUUUGACUGGGGCGGUCGCCUCCGAAAGGGUAUCGGAGGCGCUCAAAGGU
rnacentral:rRNA from 1 species